rnacentral:rRNA from 1 species
GAUGAACGCUAGCGGCAGGCCUAACACAUGCAAGUCGAGGGGUAGAGGAAGCUUGCUUCCUUGAGACCGGCGCACGGGUGCGUAACGCGUAUGCAAUCUACCUUUUACAGAGGGAUAGCCCAGAGAAAUUUGGAUUAAUACCUCAUAGUAUUUUCGAAUGGCAUCAUUUGAUUAUUAAAGUUCCAACGGUAAAAGAUGAGCAUGCGUCCUAUUAGCUAGAUGGUAAGGUAACGGCUUACCAUGGCAACGAUAGGUAGGGGUCCUGAGAGGGAGAGCCCCCACCCUGGUACUGAGACACGGACCAGACUCCUACGGGAGGCAGCAGUGAGGAAUAUUGGACAAUGGGCGCAAGCCUGAUCCAGCCAUGCCGCGUGCAGGAAGACGCAUCUAUGGUGUGUAAACUGCUUUUGUACGGGAAGAAACACUCCCUCGUGAGGGAGCUUGACGGUACCGUAAGAAUAAGGAUCGGCUAACUCCGUGCCAGCCGCCGCGGUAAAAC